GAGCAGACUCUGAACACUAGAUCAAUAGAGGCGGGGAUCUACUACACCAGGCAGGACCCCAGGUGCAGGCCGUGCAAAGAUGCCCCUGAAACAAUCCCGCACAAAACCGCAGGAUGCGAGAUGCUAGCAGGCAGGGCACACAAGGAACACCGUAACCAAGUGGCCGGCGUAGUGUACAGGAACGUCUGUGCUGAGUACAGGCUGGAAGUCCCAAAGUCCAAGUGGGAGACGCCCCCAAAGGUGGUUGAGAACGACUGUGGGACUUCCGGAUACAGACUGACAAGCUGGUAAUGGCCAAACAACCCACAUAGUAGUGGUGGGCAAACUAGAGACCGAGGCUGUAAUGAUAGAUGUAGCAAUCGCAGGCAACAUCAGGAAGACAUUUUUAAAUAUAUAAUUUCUGUUUUUUUACUGGAGAAAAGCAGUAAAAUUAAAACUGUCCAUUAUUUCCGACUGCAAAUCUUUGACUCUUAUAAGAUUAACUAUAAGAGGAACAUAAACAUUAUGCAUUAACCUAAACGACAUUUAUUAGAUAGAUAUCGAUUCAGCGCAUUAAAAGUAUAAUAUACUAAAGUGUGGCCACCCGUUGGUUCAGCGUGAUAAUGUUCCCACAUGCUGUAACGAGCACAGGAACUUAAAGGCACUUACAGUCUUGUCUCGGCUUGGCAGGCGGCUUGAUUAGCCUUUUGACUCGCACGCUAUUUGUGUGUGUGCAGCCAAACUUAGUUGCUUUGUCAUUUAUCCACAUUAUCAUGCGGGGCAGACAAGUAAAUGGCCGUGGCUCAAUUGCCUGGUAGUUCAUGCAGUUUCGCAGAUAAAUGCAAACAUCUCUAUUUGUCACUUCACAUUUACCUGAAGCAUAUUCGGAGCGGAGCAUAGUCGCUUUAUCACUGACUCUUGUCAUUAACCACUGAAUCAAUCUACACACUGUAUUAGGGGAAACCUUCGGUCGGGCGCCGCAGUCGAACCCUUCACCAGCCACUGCUCUGCUUACUAAUGGGAGUGUGUGGUGGGGACCUGCUAAUGUGACACCGUUAGCAGUCUGCCUAUCCGUGGGGGUAAUUAGGCUCAUGUUUGGUCAAUCAGAUCGGUUCUAUUGAAGAAUCAGAUACUUCACUAGUCUACCAUGACCAAAUUAGUGAUGUAAUUACCUGCAGGGCAUGUCUUCAUUAAUAAUUGCUGCAUCUUCUAUUCUAACUAAAUACCAAUACAGUCCACCUCUUAAGUGAAUUGAAACCCAAUACUGCAUCACUCCCAGCAUUUAGACACGUCUCUUUUCCAGGCUGUAGCUGUCAUUCAUAUUUAAAAUGAAUGAGGGAACGACCUCCUGAUCUAAUGCAAUCCAGUAGGACUCCAUUACCCCGUUAUAGUUUGUAGAGCUUGAAAAAAGAAGCUUCUGGGCUGAACUUUACACGUGUGCCUGAUGAAGUGGCCAGUAUUUGUGUGUUUCAUGUGAAUUUGAAGGAGAAAAUAAGUCAACUUUUGCCAGCGUCAGGGUGAACCUUCGUCAGAUUUACAAAACGUUGAGUGCUGCUGUCGGAGUGAGAGAGCUUGCGUAGACUGUCUCUGCCAUAUUCAGCCGGUGAGCAAAUAUCAAUUUUGGACAGAGGAAGGAUUACGGAGCUGCCGAGAUUCGUGUGUGCGGCACUAAAUAAAAGACGAAAGGUUCGUGCUGAAUGUUUCUUACGGGCAAUAUUUAUUUUCUCACGUUUUGACAGCACGGCGCAGAACCGAUGCUGCAACGCACAAGGCAGAGAGCCAGCAACCAAAAAAUGUCAGGUUCUCCCACAGAAAACAAUGAUGGCACUACAAAUAUGACUAGUGGGUGAAGCAAGAACACAGCAGCAUGUAAAUAUGUCUGUGUGGGCAGCGAUUAAAUCCUAUUGAAUGUCCUAUAAUCACAAAAUCAACAUUAUCGCCCAGGUGUUAAGGGAUUGCUAUGCGCGUGUUUGCCUCCUGUAUUUGCACAGCCGCACAAUUAGGCUCAGACAAGCUUGACCAUCAUUAGCACGUUUCCCUCUUAUUAAUUAUUUCCUCACCCGGCGGCGGGUUCAAUUGAUUUCGUGUCACAGCAUUGUUGAUGAGGCGUUUGUCCUGUUGACGACCGUGGUGAAUGUUACCUUCUCUUAGCCUGUAAUAGAUGCUGGGGACCUAAAGAGCAGUGAACUGACUGUACAUGUACAGAUGCACAGACUCGUCUUUCUCGUCUGCUGUUGUUUGAAUUGUGUCCCAGAACCAACAACGUUCACUAACUUGCUAAAGUCUUUGAAGCCGUGUGACUGGGAUUGAGCCCUCGCUUUCUUUUCUCCUGUUGAUAUAGGUAAUAGAUUGUGUGUGUGUGUGUGGGUGGGUGGGUGUGUGUGAGCAUAUUUGGGAGGGCAGAAGCCUUUGAUUACAGAACUGCUUCUCUCCCUGCUUGUUGUGCAGACCAAAGCGUCGCGGCACUAAUGACAAAAUGAGGUUAGCGCUGAAUCUCAACGACGAUUUGCUGCAUCCCGCCGGACGUCAUCUAGUCCUUGUCUUUUUUAUUUUGCCACAGGAACAAUUCAGACAAGCAGAAGUGAUUGUGUUCUGUGUCAACAUGAUGUGACUGCGGCUCAGCCAAUGUUUGUGGCAAUAGAUGGACCGUGCUGCCAUGGGAAAUCAAUUCCAUAGGUGUCAACACAGACGGCUGAGAUGGCCGUUGUGAGGGAGUCAGGACGGGAAUGUUUAGGUGUGCGUCUGUCUGGGUGCUGCUGCUCAAGCAAGCAGGUUUAUCCCUUUAUAAUAACUUAACUAAUGGGGCAGUGGUGUCACUGAUAGGAUCGGUAGAAGCCUGACAAAUAAAAUAUGAUAAUAGACCAAUAGUCAAACAUAGGGAUUUGCUGUUAAUGUAUUACAAUAAAUAAUUUUAAAUAUUACAUAGCCAUCAAAAUCUCAAAUGUUUAUGUGAUUUAUGAAUUUGGGGAAAUGGGGGCAGGAACCACCAAUGAACAUCAUUGCAUGAAUAACCGUUAGGCUCUUUAUAUAUGAUAUAGCCACAGAGUAUGAAAGGUGCAUAUGGGUGACUUCAGCAUAAGCUGAAUAAAAUAAUAAUUCUGUCUGCAGUGGUAACUCUAAUUCACCGGCCACUUUAUUAGCCACACUAGCAUCCAUCUGAGUCAAACAAAUCUAGAGCCUGUCAUUGACUUCGACAGUGAUUCGAUCGUUUCCUUUUUAAUGGUUCAAUCGAAGAACGAAGGUUUCGGCACGUAACCGCGGUUACUUUAAAAUGCAGCGGUUCAGAAAUGUGCCAGUGGAGUAAGCCUGUCAUGUAGCAUGUGGUGUUUUUGAGCUGCGUUUCAUAUUAAAUACCAAUAAUGUGCAUAAUCAGUACAAUCACCACUUUUAGUCCUAAUGGAGUAAAAUGAUUUUCCAUACUCAAAUGAUUUAUCCAUAAGAUGUUCAGUAUGAGUCACAUUUGGCGCAUACUGUAUAUUUUACUCAUGAAUGGUGUCAUUCUUUCAUUGAUUAUAUAUCACAAAGAAAGGAAUGGCUUUUUAUCUCCUAACUGUGAUAAUGACGAUAAUUAAUCAAAGUAGUAUGAAUGAACUCCACCAAUCAAUCAUAAUUCUGUGAAAUGCUUGGAUGAAAAGCAAAAAAGCCACUCAAAAAUACAACUGAGGCAUUGAUGGCAGAUGUUCCUACAGCUGUAAUCUCUUCCAGCAGCAGAAAACCUUCAGCGAGCUAAAUUAAUUGAAUGGCACCAUCUACAUUAAUGUAAUUCAAUAGCUUUGGAUGGCGUGAGGUUUAGUCCGUAUUGUGGACAACUUCUGGAAUAUUAAUUGGAUCCAACCAACCUGGGGAAGCUUGAAAGCUCUGAUAUAUUAGGAAAUGUGCUUAAAAACAAUGAAUGUCAUGGUGAAGGCAGGUGAUACGUGAUUGGCCAACGGUGUGGCGGUGUCAAAUGAAGCUGGAGGGCAGUAAGUGAUUGUGUCCAUUAAGGUCAUUUGCAUAGAAUGGAACAAUUUGGCACUAGUGGCCUUUGUCUGGCAGGAAUCUGGCAGGAUGAAAUAUGCAAUCAAUAUCAGCCAAAUAUCUAAAUGAAAGUUUAUUUUUAGGUGUAGCACCCGCCCACUGACUCCAAACAUGAACCGCUUGAUUUACAAAUGAUAAUGUCUGGAUCUCAGUUCAGAAUGAGUCCAGAUAAUUACUGUAACUUUGCAACGGCCUGACCGUCGGGUCUCGUCAAUAAUAACCACGUGCCUAUAACAAUCCUGCACCACUAGAGGGUUAAUAUUUCAGAACUACACCCACCGAGUCCACUAAUCACACUUAUUUGCAUCUCAUCUUCCCACUUUUAAGUCAAGUGCUGGUGCAGUGUAGUGAUUGCUAAAAAAUAAACACACACUUGUACACCCCCUCGCUCCCUCCUACUCGUGAACUCUUGCCCCCUGAAGUUCUUUUUUGAAAUAUGGCCUCAUUAAGUCGUACUUGUAGCAGCACAGUCUUCCGUGUGCUGUUUGUGCAAGCCCAACCUGCUGUAGCAUUAGCGUCAUCGUGCACACACUGUGCUAGUCAACACCGACUUUGACCCAAAUACUUAAAAGUAUUUUAUGACUCCGCGAACAAAUGUACUCACCCUCCUGCGGGUGGUAUCUGCCAGCAAUUAUUUGGAGCAACCCCACAGGAAGAGCCAUCUGUAGCUGAUUUCAAUUUCCACACACACACACACAAGGGGACGUGCGCCUUAAAAUCUUUAAUUGAGAUGGAUUGGGUCAUCCAAUUAACCCCAACACACUUGGGCGUCCUCUGUGCGGUUGAAGCUUAUGCUUUGGGGUAUUGUCAGAAAUCUUUAAGAACUAGUGCACCUGUCCUCGCUCUCUUUAUAAAGCGUAAUUGGAUUGAAGACUUCCUCAAUCGAAAAACCACCACCUCCUUUUUCUGUCUCGCCACAGUGUGAGGUGGCAUGUCCUUAUAUUAUUAUAAUGUCUAAUGACUUAAACGUCUGUCAACAGUGGAUGAUAAGACUGUGGUGCCGCUUGGCCUCACCCAUGUUAAAUGAGAGCCUUAUGUGCACAAGCAACAUGUUGCACGUGGCUCAUCUUUAAAUUAAAGGGAUUUCAUUUUAGUGCCCUGACUAUGAAGCAGCCCUUGCUCCGACCUGAAUGUUUACAGCCGCUCAACAGCCAGCGUCGGUCUCAGAAGAUUCAUUAAAAAGACGAGCAAAAACAAAAAAUAGCAAGUUAUCUCCCCGUUAAAAAGAACAACGAGGCUUUGAAUGAAAGUUCGACUCUCCACGCGUCUCUUUUUCCUCAAAUUAUAGAUAAUAAGACCUGCCAUAUUUAAUUGUUCGGGGGAAGUAAAGCAGGCUCAUCUUUUGGGGCAAUUUAAUUUGAAACGCAGUUCUUCAAGGCAGGGAGAGCAGCCAGAAGUCACGCAGAGAAAAUAGUCUUAAUUGUUUAAUCCAUAUCAGUUAUGCACCAUAUGGGAGAAAUUACAGGUGCUGUGUGAUGGGAUAAACACUACAACUAAACAAAUGUCUGAGGGGCAGUCUGCACCAGUUUGUGCCUUUUAAGACCAAUUUGUCUCGGCUUUUCCCCCUCAGACCAGCUAAUAACAUGUGCAUGAAUUAGAGCAAAGCAUUGCUGCUUAAAAUGCUCUGUAAAAAUCUUUAAAGUCUAUAUCUUUAUUAUAUUUUAUUAGAAAAGACAAGCUACGUGUUGGUCUAUAAAUUUAUUUUAUUAGACACGUGAAAUGAAGAAGAAUUAAAAGUCUCAUUAUGAUAGUUAUUUAAAACAGGAGUAGUUCAUAUUAAAGGAGACUAAAAAUAAAUAUGAUCGUCUAUAACCAUAUGCUAAGUUAACUGCGGUGCAGCGUUUAGCUAAGCCUGCACUUUUCAUUAUUAAUCUUAAACUAUUGCACCACUGAGACUCCAGCCUGUUACAUUCGUGCUCCGCAUGGAUCCCAGCUUUUAGCAGACGUUUCCUCUUUGGCCCCUGACAUGGACAUUCUAUUAUCGGGAUUUGAGAGUUUUUAUUCAAGAUAAUUUAUUUUGACCGAGUUAAUGUGUUUCUCAAAAAGGUCCCAAUUACCAUAUCAUUUAUUAUCCUAUAAUUAGAGCCAGUGAAUUAAUUGUGACACAAAACCUUCAUUUCUGAAAGGGAUUAUUAACCAAACUGUCAUUUUAUAUAGUGUCUUUCCCAUAAGAGUAAUGCUAUGUAUAUAUAUGUAUGUACAUAUAUGUAUCUAGUCUGUUUCUAAUGUGUUGGUUGCUUGGAGACAAAAUUUGCCUGGGGGCCAGUUUUACAAAUACAAACCUAGAACUAAUCAGGCUUUUUAAAGGUUGUAUGUAAAAUGUAUUCAUGUAAAACGCUACUUAGUACUUGGCAACACAUUUGCCUUGGAAUUAAUGUACUGUACAUUAGCAAUUAAAAUAAAUGUUGAAACUUAUUUUUGACUAAUUUACAGUUUACAGUGAAGAAAUCUAUGUUGCUUAAAGCUGAGAAAGCUUCUCUUAUUUAGAAAUGUUUCUUUUAGAUUCAGAAAAAAUAAGAAGAUCAAUGAAAUCAUUCAAAACAUUAAUUUUUAUUUGACACAUCAAAGUUUUUGUCUCGUUUUUAUUUAUCAGGUAUAUUCAUGAAUAAUCCCAACAUUUUGUGAUGAUACCCAGCAGGCACUUCAACAUUGAAUCACAGUUGGAUCAAUGUCAUAGUUAUGGUUGAAUGACCACUGGAUAAUGUGUUAAUUUUAAAAAGUGAAUUAAUGUUGAUGGAGCAAAGUUUUCAAUUUCAAUAUCAUCGAAACAGCAUUAAACGCUAGCAUCAGACAUUGUUUUAAGUUUGCAUCCAUGUCACAAAAACAACUGACAUUAUUUGAAUGUUAACUUUUAAGUAUUUUGUUAACCUUUUUACGGCCAUUAGCAUUAAAUGUUUUAACAUUAGCAUCAACCUCAAAAAACAACUGACUGAUUUCGACCAUAUUUCAACUUUGAAGGUCAGUUGUGUUCCUGCUGGGUAGUUCAAAACCAAGUCAGAAACUUGUCUUGCUUUUACAUUUUCCGAUGUCUUGCUUCAAAACAGAUUUGGAUAGAACUGUGGGUUAUUGCAUCAUUAUAAACCUCCACUCGCUGUGUCUACAACUCACACAAGUCUACCUUUAGCUUUUGUUCCUUCUUUGACCAAACGCGAUCAUGCAAUCUGCUCUUCAAACUCCUCCAAUUCUUUAGCUUCAAAAAUGGUUUUGUUUGAUAGCAGCAAUCCUGGAAAGGUCACAGGCAUCAAGAAAAUAGACAGAAUGAGCCGAGAGGAUUUCAAGUUGUAUUAAUGAGGACCCCCUUGGCCAGCAGCCAUCUUAGAGAAGCAACCACUGUCAAGAGUCUCACAUGGAUGAAAGACUUGGCUACUCUCCACCACUGUUGCAAACCUCCAGAAAUAUUCUGACGUCGGUGCAUACACACCCGGAAAGAUAUGUGUAAAAUUAACAGGAACCUCUAUGAUGUUGGAACAGCAGCGGAGCCUGAAGAAAGAGACGAGAGCGCUGUUGCCAUGCCAGUCAUGAAGCUGUGAGACAGUAAUGCUGACAGUGACCAUCAGGUUUACUGUAAUAUCAACUAAAGCUGAUGCAUUCAGUCCAGGCACAUUUACGUUCUUAGAGUGGCCUUUUAGCCACUGUUGAUUUCCCUGUGUUAAUUAUUAUUUUAUUAUAAUAAAAUAUAAUUAUAUUAUUAAUAUUAUGAUAUAGAAUGAGUGAAGGUGUUUUUUUUUCUCAGCUUGAGACUGUUUGAG